AUAUAUGUAGCUAUCAGGGUAUGUGUGCAUGUGUGUGUACAUAUAUAUGUAGCUUUUAAUUAGACAUUCAACCAAAAGAGCAGGUUCUCUGCUCAAAAGCUUGCUCAUUGUUAAUUACUACACUGAUUGGCUUAAUAAGAGAUUGCCUUUCUUCUCUCACGUCAAUGAAUCAGGCAUUAGCUAGGAGGACCAGAAUGUCACUAAAUACUUUCCAGAAUUGUGCUACGUGAUGAAUGGUAUACAUUUAUUAUCAGAAAUAAGGUCUAUCAAAAUAAUAAGAAGCAAUUACUUAUUUCAGCAUGUAUUUGGAAUUGUAUGAAAUAUGUACUUGUUCUUAUAGGAAGAGUGCUGUGCUUAGAAAUGCUAAUUAUUUAGUGACAGGCAUAUCUUGCACUUUGGGCUAAGAUUCGGUGUCAGCUGAUAUCGAUAUAAAUUAACAAUCUAAUCUAUUAAUCAUAAAUAAAAUUAGCAGCUCAUUGGCCGCACAUUGCUAUAUAGGGUUAAAUUUAGUUUGCUCUUUCAGCCAUUCAGCACUACUAAAGUGUAAUGAAAAAGGGAAAGCUGAUAGCCAAUGUUGUAGCCCCUACUGUGAGUAGCACCGAACACGCAGGCAGGCGUGUCGCAAGGGGCAGGCUGUUAUUGUUGCGUUAUUUUUACAUUAUUUUUGUGUUACGGUGUGCUGUGUUUCAGGAAGCCCUUUGAAUGGCCUCAAGCUGCGUUAGCCCAGAGCGAGAGAGGACAGCCCAGUAAGUGCGAACUCAUGGGAACUCUUGACAGUACCAGCAACUACCACUGCACAGCACAGAAUUUAAUCUUUAUUUUGUAGAGAGAAUCUAAUCAAGAAGCAUUUUUCAGUGUAAUGCUGUCAUCCAUGCUUGGUAGAUUGCAAGAAAAGCACGGCCGCCAGUAGUCCCUCCAUACAGCUGGGUACCACAUGUGCUCUCUUCAGUUAGAUUGGGUAAGAGUCCCCACAUCUCCUAAAAUUCAGAGUGAAUGUGUGCAGCAUCUACAGAGAGGAUAUUGGUCCUGAAAAAUCGCCGUCUUCCUAAGCCAAUGCGUUAGAGCCAGUUGUUGGGGUAGAGUUGGGUCUUGGAGAACCGGCGUUAACGUGCAGUUCAUGCAAGAUGGCCAUCAUGGUUUCUGAACCUCUUUCUUCUGGAAGCAGCGUGUUUGCCAUGCACGGUGCGUGAAUCACAGCAAACCUUUCGCUCAGCCUUUCUCUGCUAGGAAGGCAGCUUCAAGGCAUUGGUCACUGGGACCGAAGCGUGCCGGGAAGGAUGCUCGUGCUGGGAGGAAGGGCAACAGCACGCUUACUAGAAACGCAGUUGAAGGAUCUCCCGACACCAGAAGGGAUACCUGCUGUAGGGUUGCAGCAGCCUGGCCAAACUUCUCCUCUUUCCAUACAGAAAAAGAAAAAUCAGCUGAUGGUACAGAGGUGCCUUUCACUUCAGCUUCCUCGCAGCGUGGUGCCUGGGGAGUUUUCCGUUCAGUGUAGAAGGAGACAGCACAAGAACACACGCCAGAAGCACUCCUAAGCCCAGGAGGGCCUUGCAGAGGGGGAGCCUGCAGCUCCCUGGUUCCUGCAAUCAGAGGUACCGAGCACGGGAACAGCAGCUCCUCUUCUCCCAGCCCCAGGUUGUGGCCACGGUAAAAACCCAUUGCUCAGUCACCCAGAACGGACAGAGCCUGAAGUGUGUUAUUUAAGCUUUAAUGUGAGGGAAGGUCAGACUUCUUCUCGGGACAAGGGUUACUCCGUGAGGAGUUUGUUUCUAUUAAGAUGGAGUAAUCGACAAUAUUCUGCAAACGCCUACAAUAUUUCAGACCAGCUGAGCAGUUUGCCCUGUACAUCCCACUGGAAAGCAGAAUGGAAGCCCGAUUCCCAAAGCGCUUCCAGCUCAGCGAUGCCCAACCCUUGAAAGAACCGCGGUUCUUCAAAGCAACGCGAAAUCAUCCUGCUGUGGGUGGUGCUGGCUGUUUCCACUAAAUGCAAGUUUCUUUCAUCUAGAAAGAAGUUUGCACAGGUGCUGCACAUGGAGUAAGGAUGGUGUCCGCUCACAGGGAGGUGCCUGGCUGCACAGAGGCUGACAGCGUCUGUUCAGAUUCACUGCUGACCCUCUGCCAAACACGGUCUCCGGUUCCAUAUACAGCCUGAAGCGAAAGGUCCAGCUGCCUCUUGCCCCAGAGCUCCUGGGAAGGAUGUCUUGCUGCUUCUCCUUCGUGCUGAACGUGCAGUGCUGCUUUGGUGAUUCGGCUCAGCUCCUGCAGGCGCCACGGAAGGAGCCACCUUUUAGAAAGGUGUCGGUGACUGGGUGAAACAAACUACUGCAGCUCAGCCCCUACCCACCGAAAUGCUGCAGCACGCACUGAAGGAGUCCCAGUGGUGACGCUGUCUGUGCUGUACUGGGGACACGUGGGACAACUUGAUAAAAGCAGGUGUGGUUUUGAUUUCUUCAGAAGUAAAGAAGCACAAAAGGAGACGUUCUGUUCUUUGAAAAUAACCGGAGCCACUGGCAAGAAGCAGCAACACCGUGCACCCAACACAGAAACCAUUUCCAGGUUAUCAAAACAUGCUGUUGAACUGAAUUUUGCAGCUGCAUUUUCAAAUGUACCAU